rfam:Lactobacillus siliginis strain DSM 22696 Scaffold2, whole genome shotgun sequence.
UCCACACUGCAACCGCACAAUCCAAGUAUUAAGUUUCGUUGGUUUUCCAACGAACGCUUGGCUUUGGCGAGUCUAAGACUUUAU